UACGGAGGGUGCGAGCGUUGUUCGGAAUCACUGGGCGUAAAGCGCGUGUAGGCGGCCCAUUAAGUCUGAUGUGAAAGCCCGGGGCUCAACCCCGGAAGUGCAUUGGAAACUGAUGGACUCGAGUCCCGGAGAGGAGAGUGGAAUUCCUGGUGUAGCGGUGAAAUGCGUAGAUAUCAGGAGGAACACCGGUGGCGAAGGCGGCUCUCUGGACGGUGACUGACGCUGAGACGCGAAAGCGUGGGGAGCAAACAGG
rnacentral:rRNA from 1 species